rnacentral:rRNA from 1 species
AUUGAACGCUGGCGGCAUGCCUUACACAUGCAAGUCGAACGGCAGCACGGGUGCUUGCACCUGGUGGCGAGUGGCGAACGGGUGAGUAAUACAUCGGAACAUGUCCUGUAGUGGGGAAUAGCCCGGCGAAAGCCGGAUUAAUACCGCAUACGAUCUACGGAUGAAAGCGGGGGACCUUCGGGCCUCGCGCUAUAGGGUUGGCCGAUGGCUGAUUAGCUAGUUGGUGGGGGAAAGGCCUACCAAGGCGACGAUCAGUAGCUGGUCUGAGAGGACGACCAGCCACACUGGGACUGAGACACGGCCCAGACUCCUACGGGAGGCAGCAGUGGGGAAUUUUGGACAAUGGGCGAAAGCCUGAUCCAGCAAUGCCGCGUGUGUGAAGAAGGCCUUCGGGUUGUAAAGCACUUUUGUCCGGAAAGAAAUCCUUGGCCCUAAUACGGUCGGGGGAUGACGGUACCGGAAGAAUAAGCACCGGCUAACUACGUG